rnacentral:rRNA from 1 species
AUUGAACGCUGGCGGAAUGCUUUACACAUGCAAGUCGAACGAUGAGACCUAGCUUGCUAGGUUGAUUAGUGGCGAACGGGUGAGUAAUGUAUCGGAACGUAUCCAAUAAUGGGGGAUAACUAAUCGAAAGGUUGGCUAAUACCGCAUACGCCCUACGGGGGAAAGCAGGGGAUCUUCGGACCUUGCGUUACUGGAGCGGCCGAUAUCUGAUUAGCUAGUUGGUGAGGUAAAAGCUCACCAAGGCGACGAUCAGUAGCUGGUCUGAGAGGACGACCAGCCACACUGGAACUGAGACACGGUCCAGACUCCUACGGGAGGCAGCAGUGGGGAAUUUUGGACAAUGGGCGAAAGCCUGAUCCAGCCAUUCCGCGUGAGUGAAGAAGGCCUUCGGGUUGUAAAGCUCUUUCGCAAGGGAAGAAACGAUGCAGUCGAAUAAACUGUGUUAAUGACGGUACCUUGAUAAGAAGCACCGGCUAACUACGUGCCAGCCGCCGCCGUAAAAC